rnacentral:rRNA from 1 species
UUGAUCCUGGCUCAGAACGAACGCUGGCGGCAGGCCUAACACAUGCAAGUCGAGCGCACUCUUCGGAGUGAGCGGCGGACGGGUUAGUAACGCGUGGGAACGUGCCCUUCUCUAAGGAAUAGCCACUGGAAACGGUGAGUAAUACCUUAUACGCCCUUCGGGGGAAAGAUUUAUCGGAGAAGGAUCGGCCCGCGUUAGAUUAGAUAGUUGGUGGGGUAACGGCCUACCAAGUCUACGAUCUAUAGCUGGUUUUAGAGGAUGAUCAGCAACACUGGGACUGAGACACGGCCCAGACUCCUACGGGAGGCAGCAGUGGGGAAUCUUGGACAAUGGGCGCAAGCCUGAUCCAGCCAUGCCGCGUGAGUGAUGAAGGCCUUAGGGUCGUAAAGCUCUUUCGCCAGAGAUGAUAAUGACAGUAUCUGGUAAAG